CCUACGGGAGGCAGCAGUGAGGAAUAUUGGUCAAUGGACGCAAGUCUGAACCAGCCAUGUCGCGUGCAGGAUGACGGCUCUAUGAGUCGUAAACCUCUUUUGUACGAGGGUAAACUUCGAGACGCGUACCGGUUUGCAUGUACCUUAUGAAUAAGGAUCGGCUAACUCCGUGCCAGCAGCCGCGGUAAUACGGAGGAUCCGAGCGUUAUCCGGAUUUAUUGGGUUUAAAGGGUGCGUAGGCGGUUUGUUAAGUUAGCGGUGAAAUGUCGGGGCUCAACCAUGAAACUGCCGUUGAUACUGGUGGGCUAGAGAAUGUUUGAGGUAGGCGGAAUGUGUGGUGUAGCGGUGAAAUGCAUAGAGAUCACGCAGAACCCCGAUUGCGAAGGCAGCUUGCCAAGCUAUGACUGACGUUGAGGCACGAAAGCGUGGGUAGCGAACAGGAUUAGAUACCCGAGUAGUC
rnacentral:rRNA from 1 species